rnacentral:rRNA from 1 species
GAUGAACGCUGGCGGCGUGCCUAAUACAUGCAAGUCGAGCGAACGGACGAGAGGCUUGCUUUUCUGAUGUUAGCGGCGGACGGGUGAGUAACACGUGGAUAACCUACCUAUAAGACUGGGAUAACUUCGGGAAACCGGAGCUAAUACCGGAUAAUAUUUUGAACCGCAUGGUUCAAAAGUGAAAGACGGUCUUGCUGUCACUUAUAGAUGGAUCCGCGCUGCAUUAGCUAGUUGGUAAGGUAACGGCUUACCAAGGCAACGAUGCAUAGCCGACCUGAGAGGGUGAUCGGCCACACUGGAACUGAGACAUGGUCCAGACUCCUACGGGAGGCAGCAGUAGGGAAUCUUCCGCAAUGGGCGAAAGCCUGACGGAGCAACGCCGCGUGAGUGAUGAAGGUCUUCGGAUCGUAAAACUCUGUUAUUAGGGAAGAACAUAUGUGUAAGUAACUGUGCACAUCUUGACGGUACCUAAUCAGAAAGCCACGGCUAACUACGUG